rnacentral:rRNA from 1 species
AUUGAACGCUGGCGGCAGGCCUAACACAUGCAAGUCGAGCGAGCGGCGGACGGGUGAGUAAUGUCUGGGAAACUGCCUGAUGGAGGGGGAUAACUACUGGAAACGGUAGCUAAUACCGCAUACCAUCAGAUGUGCCCAGAUGGGAUUAGCUAGUAGGUGGGGUAAUGGCUCACCUAGGCGACGAUCCCUAGCUGGUCUGAGAGGAUGACCAGCAACACGGGAACGGAGCAACGGUCCAGACUCCUACGGGAGGCAGAAGUGGGGAAUAUGGCACAAUGGGCGCAAGCCUGAUGAAGCAAUGCCGGGUGUGUGAAGAAGGCCUUCGGGUUGUAAAGCACUUUCAGCGGGGAGGCGUUACCCGCAGAGGAAGCACCGGCUAACUCCGUGCCAGCCGCCGCGGUAAUUC